rnacentral:tRNA from 1 species
GGCAGUAUAGUUUUAGUUAGGAAUUCUUAUUUUACACGUAAGAGGUGGUUUUAAAGAAGCCUGCUGCCA